GUACACUCCUACGGGAGGCAGCAGUGGGGAAUUUUGGACAAUGGGCGAAAGCCUGAUCCAGCAAUGCCGCGUGAGUGAAGAAGGCCUUCGGGUUGUAAAGCUCUUUUGUCAGGGAAGAAACGGUGAAAGCUAAUAUCUUUUGCUAAUGACGGUACCUGAAGAAUAAGCACCGGCUAACUACGUGCCAGCAGCCGCGGUAAUACGUAGGGUGCAAGCGUUAAUCGGAAUUACUGGGCGUAAAGCGUGCGCAGGCGGUUUUGUAAGUCUGAUGUGAAAUCCCCGGGCUCAACCUGGGAAUUGCAUUGGGGACUGCAAGGCUAGAAUCUGGCAGAGGGGGGUAGAAUUCCACGUGUAGCAGUGAAAUGCGUAGAUAUGUGGAGGAACACCGAUGGCGAAGGCAGCCCCCUGGGUCAAGAUUGACGCUCAUGCACGAAAGCGUGGGGAGCAAAGAGGAGUAGAUACCCGUGUAGUCCC
rnacentral:rRNA from 1 species